UACGUAGGGUGCAGGCGUUAAUCGGAAUUACUGGGCGUAAAGCGUGCGCAGGCGGUCUUUUAAGUCAGAUGUGAAAUCCCCGGGCUUAACCUGGGAACUGCGUUUGAAACUGGAAGGCUAGAGUGUGGCAGAGGGGGGUGGAAUUCCGACGUGUAGCGGUGAAAUGCGCAGAUAUCGGGAAGAACACCCGUGGCGAAGGCGGCUACUCUGGGACGGUACUGACGCUGAGACGCGAAAGCGUGGGGAGCGAACAGG
rnacentral:rRNA from 1 species